AGCCUCGUGGUGUAUUCACGUCAAAUUGCAAGUUUGAAAAUCCACUUCUUCGUGGCGGGGCUU
rnacentral:tRNA from 1 species